rnacentral:rRNA from 2 species
AGGUGCGAUCCUACCGGCACUAAUGCAUCGAAUCACAUCAGAACUCCACAGUUAAGCGUGCUUGGGCGAGAGUAGUUCUAGGAUGGGUGAUCUCCUGGGAAGUCCACGUGUUGCACCCC